GCACUGGGGCCCAGCUAGGGCACUCUCGCGGGACAAUGGGUGUCACGGCAGCCAGCGACCGUUUGUCAUUCACAGCUGCCUGAAAGGAGGACCGCAGUAUUCCCACGCAGGAAGCUUGGACCAAAAGCAGGAAUGCUUAAGGGCGCAUAUGACUUGCCAUGGUAAAAAACAGGAUGCCAACCCAGGCCUGAUGACAUCCACCUCACUAAAAGCUAAGGACUAGGACUUUCUGCUUUAAACAAGGACCCACAUGUGGGUGUUUUCUGUGGGAGAGGGAGAGAGGACAUUCGAAGGGCAGAAGUCUGACCUUUGCAAGCACACGUGAACCACACCAAUGAGAAAUGAAUGGACGAGCCAGAUGCCAAUUUAUAAAUUUCCUACUGCACACCUUGAAUGUGAAAGUACAUGUGGCCGACAAAGAGAAGGGAAGAUGGAGCCGCCAUCUUCAACAGGAGUGGCACAACUGUCGGAUCUAUGUCUGCAGCUGGAUUUUACAGGCUGCUCUUCGUUAGAAAGGAAAACUUUACGGAGGACUUCCAUGCCUUCACUAUCUGCCUAAGUAAAUUCUUCUUAACUCCUGUACCAGUCUCAGCCUCAUUUUGUCCAGCCCCUAUACAAGAUGGAGUUGCUCUGGUUCAAACGCCUGACACAAACUUGCUCCAAAAUAAACAUGGGUGAUGUAUGUUACCUGUAUGUUUACCCAUUGCACAUGUGGUCAACCCCCUCAUAAAUAUGUACAGCUUUCCCCCAAAA
rnacentral:lncRNA from 1 species